CUAGGUCGAGCUAGGCAGGAACUGGGAACAUUGCAGAUGCUAGUGUGACCGAAGAUUCCCAGGAAGGUUCUUUGGUCUUCUGUGCAAUACAUGUCGUCGAAACCCACAGCAAGGUCAUUGCAUUUCGUGAGGAAAGCUUUAAGAGGUCUCAAGAAUGUGCACCUAAGUGGAUAGAAGUGGAAGAAAGUCUACAAAGCAAAGUCGGUGCUAAGGUCCUACAACACAAACACGACAGCCAAAGACAUUGUGAAGCACCUGGAACUGGAAGACUAGACGUGAGUGAUUACGUGAAGAAGGCCGUCCAGGCGCACUCGCGUCAUCUCGUCAGACGCAUUGCGUUGUGACCACGGUAGGAGGAUGAACCUCCAAGUGCACAUUCCGGAGUUUUGUCGUGCUGUUCGGAUUUGUUGAUUAGCGAAGACAAUCCAAGCUUUCAUGCAAGAGAACAUAUAAACAUAAGUUGGCAGAUAAGAUCACAAAACUUCUGAAUGAUAAGUCAUCGAUCGACAUCACUGAACGAUGGGACAUGGUAAAUCAAAACUUGUUUUGGUUAAUUUUAAAGAAACAUGCUCUUAAAAUUGCAAAGUGAUCCGAGAUGUUGUACGGUGUACGCCAGCAAUGGUACAAGAAAAUAUACUUUAUGGAUAGGUUACUAAACCCAUAUUUGUUAUUUUAUUUGGAAAAAAAGAUUUGCAAAUGACUUUAAAUCUCAUGCAGAAAUAAAAGUUAUAAUCAAACAUCCAGGCUUUAAUUCUUAACUAAAGCAGAAAUGCAUUUUCAAGAUUCUAAUUCAAAAUUAGCCAAAGUUCAAUUUAAACAUUGCUGUUCUGUUCCACGACUCUUCCGUGCUGGUUCCAUGUAGUUCUCAAUUCUCUGAUCUUUGUCCUUGUCUAUUGUAACGAUUCAAAUCAAUAGAUAUGAGCUCCCUAUUAAGUAGCUUCUAAGUUAUUAGUGAUAUAAAUACAGAUUUCUAGUAUGUGUGUAUCCUUGGCAAGCAUACCUUUAAUUUUCCAUCUUUGAUGAGCCUCAAAGGUGACCUGAGCAGAUAUUCUUGCAGUGCUUUUAGGAUUUAUUUUGACCCAGAGUUAAUAAAUAUAUUUCCACGACAGGUGAAUGCAGGUGCCAAUCCCGCACUUGAAAGUGAACGUGCUGGUAACAUGGGUAAUGUGUUUUUUUAAAUUGCAUGUAACAUCUCAGCAGUGUUAAAUAUCUCAGCACUUGCUAUUUAAGACUUAUUAACGACAAGUUGGGUUCCCAUAUCACUCCCUUUUGGGCAUCUUGAAAAGGGAAAUGAGCUGUUGGACCUGCCUUUACUUGCGACAGUAAUUUCAGCGGAGAGGGUAGACUGGAGGGGGAGGAUAUUCAGCUGCAGCAGAUUGGGGAAUAAACUAUUAUAGAUACUAGGGCUCUUAAGUGAUUUCUGUCUGCAGAAUUUAUCCAUAAAACACUCACUUCUGUUAAAAGAGUAAAAACUUGAAAGAUUAUGUUGCACUGUGCCAUUUAACUUUUAAAGCCCCUUACCAGUUCAGCGCCAAACGGGGAGCAAGAUUUGAUCUCAAAGCCAGCUUGCGGAAGACUCUCCCCUAUACACCACAUUUUGGUUAGUAUGCAUUGCUACUGGUAACCCUUUGGAUAGAUUAUCUUGAGGUCAGAGAGUAAGCGUAUUGCUAAAGUGGGUCGUUAUUUAGGAUUCUAGAAUCCCGCAUAGGGCACCACAUACUCAAAAUCAAUUCAAUGUCAUUACCACUUUCUAAAUGAUUCACUUAAUUUAGUUAAAGCUAUAAUGGAAUCUGCAUUGAAACAACAUUUUUAAGGUAUUUGAACCUAUUUACCUUUUUCUAGUAAUCAUUGUUACUUUUGGUGGGGGGGUUUGAUUUUGUGGGUUGGCAUCAUCCCGGAGGGGACCGAGGGCCAGCAGAGCCUUUUGAAGAGCAGUGAGCCAUCGUAUCACCCUCAGCAGAGGGGAGCAUUGGUGACCAGGACCGGGCUGGUGAAGAACAGGGGUCACUGGCUGAACUAUCAUCCAGAGCUGUGAAAGAUGUCCUGGACC